CAGUAGCCGCGGUAAUACGAAGGGUGCAAGCGUUACUCGGAAUUACUGGGCGUAAAGCGUGUGUAGGUGGUUGUUUAAGUCUGUCGUGAAAGCCCUGGGCUCAACCUGGGAAUUGCGAUGGAUACUGGGCGACUAGAGUGCGGUAGGGGAUAGUGGAACUUCCGGUGUAGCAGUGAAAUGCGUAGAGAUCGGAAGGAACAUCUGUGGCGAAGGCGACUAUCUGGGCCAACACUGACACUGAGGCACGAAAGCGUGGGGAGCAAACAGGAUUAGAUACCCGCGUAGUCCCUGUCUCUUAUAC
rnacentral:rRNA from 1 species